GACAAGGAUGCAUUCUUCAGGAACAACAGGACAACUUGUUCAAGUAAAACAGGUCAGAGGCACGUCUUCUUCGUCCUCGUCGAAUCUCACAGUCC
rnacentral:lncRNA from 1 species